rnacentral:rRNA from 1 species
GAUGAACGCUGGCGGCGUGCCUAAUACAUGCAAGUCGAGCGAAUGGAUUAAGAGCUUGCUCUUAUGAAGUUAGCGGCGGACGGGUGAGUAACACGUGGGUAACCUGCCCAUAAGACUGGGAUAACUCCGGGAAACCGGGGCUAAUACCGGAUAACAUUUUGAACCGCAUGGUUCGAACUUGAAAGGCGGCUUCGGCCGUCACUUAUCGAUUGACCCGCGUCGCAUUAGCUAGUAGGUGAGGUAACGGCUCACCAAGGCAACGAUGCGUAGCCGACCUGAGAGGGUGAUCGGCCACACUGGGACUGAGACACGGCCCAGACUCCUACGGGAGGCAACAGUAGGGAAUCUUCCGCAAUGGACGAAAGUCUGACGGAGCAACGCCGCGUGAGUGAUGAAGGCUUUCGGGUCGUAAAACUCUGUUGUUAGGGAAGAACAAGUGCUAGUUGAAUAAGCUGGCACCUUGACGGUACCUAACCAGAAAGCCACGGCUAACUACGUGCCAGCCGCCGCAGUAA